GCCGGGGUGGCGUAACUGGCAGACGUGUCGGACUUAAAAUCCGAUGGGGAAACCCGUGAGAGUUCAAGUCUCUUCCCCGGUA
rnacentral:tRNA from 1 species